GUCACCUUUUGGUUCAGUGGUAGAAUGCUCGCCUGCCACGCGGGCGGCCCGGGUUCGAUUCUCGGCCGAUGCA